UCUCAUUAUAGAUUGGUCACGAUGCUUGAGAUAGAUAAGAGAGCAUCUGCCUACAAUAACAUGUUACAAAUUGAUUACAACACUGGUAUUUGUGCUAAAGAAAUUACCAAAAUCAUUUCAUAAGGAUUCAAAAUUAAAAAUUGGGACAAAGAAAAUAGGCGUAGGAGGGGGUGAAAUUCCAAAUGAUGCACAAAUGCACCGAUGAACUUCCAGGUUUCCAAAUGGAAAGAAUCGGGUUUUAUACCGACAUGAAGACCAGACAAUCAUCAAUUGAUUGUACCUUCCUUGCCGUAUCCGUUGUAGGUUGAGGUGGCAUUUUUGUCAUUUUGUGGUUUCUACUUCUUGAGUUCUUGGUGCCAUGUUACAGUGAGUAAUGAAAGCGGGAAUCCUCCACACACCGGUUACUUAUGGAUCAUAAUCCUCUUAGAAAAUACUACUACUUCAAGUACAGCUCUAAGUUCCACUCACAACGUUAAAGUCUAUUUUUUUAAGUAAAAAAAAAUAAGAAAAAAAAAAUGGUUCGUGAUCUAUCAUGUUGACCCAAUGCUAAAAAUAGUUUUGUUUACUAUUAUUAUAUCAAAUAUUUAUGUGUUUGCAUUGUGCCCAAGUCUUAACCCUUUUGGUGGCAAGUGUGAUGAGAUACCUCAUGCUCGCAUGGGCUCUAAGAGAAGAGAUUAUAUUACCGUCUAAAAUAUAAAUAAUAAAUGAUAAAAAAUAGAAGGGAAA